AUGGAAAGAGCUGUCAGGAAGCCAGCAAAGAACUGUUUGGAGCUGUCGUCGAACAACGAAAGCUUAUCUGGGGGCACCACGGAAGACGGCUGUAGUCAGAGCAAUAGGGAAGGGUGGAGUUCUGGUGGAGAGGUGGCCAGUUUAAGGUUCAUCCAGAGGGAAGAGCAGGUGUUUCUUGUAGUUCCCUUCAGGCUCGUUGAAAAGAGAAAGUACAAUUGUGAACGGCGUUGGCGGGUUUGUUGCCUGCCAGUGACUCCUUGCUGAGGUGCUGGUGUGACUCCGCCAGACACUCCACCUCGGCGAAGCGUGCAUUGAGCGCCAUGGCCGGGUGGCUGGGGUCCUGCGUCAUGUUCAGGUAGGCAGCCCGCCGCAGCUGCUCUUCUAUCACCAGAGCCUGCUCUAACAGCUGGAGGACAAGGUCAAGAGGAGAUAAGGCAGAAAUGUAAAACAUAUAAUAAAUAAAACACUUAAACAAAAGAGUUAUGAAUAAGGUGCAGAGGUAGAGUG
rnacentral:lncRNA from 1 species